rnacentral:lncRNA from 1 species
GCACCUGGCCCAGACACUGUAAGUUUUGGGGAGGAUUAAAUGGGAUCAUCCAUGUAAAUGCGCCUAUCCCAGUCUCUAGCACACACUGAACACUCAAAAAUGGGAGGUUUUGGUAUUUCAGAAGAAAAUCAGGUGUCGGGGAGUGUUAGUAGUAACCUUGAACUAUAUGCAAAGACUAAAGCUAGGAAGAUAGGAAGAGUUUUACAAGAUCCUUUUGGCUAUAUAGUUAAAGUUAUUAGCAGUUAGAGUUUCCCUUACAGUUGACAAGUGAACCAUACAAGUGAAUGACUUGUGGUUCCUCAGAUAAAAGCACGAGUCAGAGUUGUAAUUUCUGUUUUGUGGACGUAAUUGUUGACCAAGUGCACUGAAGGUAGGGAUGGCCAGUAACAAAAUUAUAAAGCAGGCCUGUUUGUCUUCAAACACUCCUGAGUAAACUUGUCAUUUCCUUGUAAAAAUGCAAAAUAGACUACUGAGUAGAGGUGAUCAAUUACAGAAAUGCACUUACUUUGGCUUUCUUCUGAAACCUAAUAAAAUGACAGUAAAGGGAUUAUUUUUUUAAGGCAGAAACCCACAAUGAUGAUGAAAUUAGAAAGGAAGACAAGAACAACAAGGUUGUGGAAUUCAGAAGCCAUAUAGACAAGAGACCACUAGAGAUUAGAAAAUUAUUCUCUGGGGUAUCUGACCACUUCCAGAGGAAAGACAUAAAGAUGCUGAUGUCGAGAAUGACCCAACUAAAUGGCCCAGCCAGAUGACCCAGUUGAAGCUGGUGGACAAGAAGUUUCAUUCAUGGAAUCAGAACUUCCAAUAAGCUGGGAAAACGGCAAUGGAUUAAUAACAAGAAAUUAAUGGUGAAGUGGUGACGAAAAUUCUACAUUGCUUAGAAAGCAAGUAAGAAAAUCAGUGGUUGUAGAGAAGUUCUUACAUGAAGUAAUAAAAAUAAAAAUUGUUAUGUUAAGCAUUUUCUAUUUUCUUUUCCUCCCCUCCAAAUGAAACAGCAUACUAUUCUGCAUGUUUUUCUACCUAACAAUGUAUCUUUUUAAUGACUCUUGUAUUUUAAACCUAAAAUUUUGAUUAAGCUUCACUUAAUAUUAAAAAAGAUAGUAUAGGUCACGAUGUUAUUUGAUGCAAACGUUGGAAAGACAGAAUCUUCUUGAUCCAAGAGCUUUUAGAAUUCAAAGUCUGAUUCUGGUUAUUACUCUGCUCAUUUAAGAUAGUGAAAUGAACAUUUACAUUCUGGCAACCUCAGAAGUACAACGAACAAAGGACACCAGCCAGGUAGGGCAAAGGCCUGUGAACCCCCUUUUGCUGUUAAAUGUUUAUCAGAUGAGUGCUCUGUUUCUGUUAUAUUAUAUUGCUUUUCUCUCCAAUGUUUACUGAGGAAGAACAAGUAGCUCCUCAGGCAAGUCAACUGUUAACUUUGCAGUUUUUAUUUAAUCUCCCAGGAAUGUAACCCUUAACUUUAAAGAAUGUAGUGACCAUAAAACUUAUAAAGCAUGUUUCUUAAGGAAAUUGUACCUGUUUAUUUAAUCUAUCAGAUAUGAAUGUUAUAGAAAAUUAAAUUUGUCCACUUAAGCUGUAGAUGAACUUUUCACCUUUCUGAUCAGAAAUUCACCAUCUUAUAGUAUAGGUUCUGUUAUUAAUCAGAAUAUUUCAUUUAGACUCUUUCUAUCCAACUUUUUCUUAGAGGCUAUUCAAAAUAAAGGUGCUUCUAACAGUUUCAUAUCGAAAUACGAUGCAAAGCCUUGCUCUUCCAUGGUAUCCUUUGAGUGAGCCAAACUUAUUUAGCCAUUCCCCUAUAGUUAAAUAGCUAGGAUGUUUCCAACAUCUCACCUUUAAAACAAUAGUGCUAUGAAUGUCAUAAAUGUUUGUAUAUGUAAAUAUGUAGGAUAAAUCCCUAUCAGUAGAAUUUCAAAAGGUAUACGCAAUCAGUAUUUUCAUACAUAUUUAAAAUUUUCCAUCCAUACAAAGGUUGCUAACAUAUUUAUUUAAAAUUUUAAAAAUAAUUUUAUAUGCCUCUUGUAACCAGUAAUAGGAUGCAAAGUUUUUUUUAAGGUAACAUUGCUCCUCUUCCCCCAUUGUCUCUGUCAUCUAUAGUACUCCCUGAGGUAGUUCAUGUUAUUGCAAGGGUGUGUAUCAUCACAAACAUAUUGCUUCCACAUACAUAUAUCAGCAUACAUAUAUAUAUAUGUAUAGCAUAUAUAUAUAUGAGCACAUAUUAAUAUAUGCCCAUGCACAUACAAGCAUGUUUUUGUUAAUUUUUACUGAAAUGGAAUCAUACUGCAUACUUAUGAACAAAUUGCUUCUUUCACCUUAUAUCACUUAUAAUUGUUAUUCUACAAAUCAGUACAUAUAAAAAAUACAUAUUUACAUAUGUAAUACUCUAUCUUUCUGUUAUAAUUUUCUGCAUGCACAUGUAUGCAUAUACAUAUAUUCAUAAACAUAAAACUUAAUCUAAACGGGAUUUUUUUUGGGGGGGGUGAUAUGGUUUGGCUGUGUCCCCACCCAAAUCUCAUCUUGAAUUCCCAUGUGUUGU